UACAGAGGAGCCAAGCGUUGUCCGGAUUGACUGGGCGUAAAGCGCACGCAGGCGGCCGCGCGCGUGGGGUGUGAAAUCUGGCCGCUUAACGGCCAGGCGCCAUCCCAUACGGCGCGGCUGGAGCCAUGCAGAGGGCGGUGGAAUUGCCGGUGUAGUGGUGAAAUGCGUAGAGAUCGGCAGGAACACCCAGGGGGAAACCAGCCGCCUGGGCAUGCGCUGACGCUGAGGUGCGAGAGCGUGGGGAGCGAACAGG
rnacentral:rRNA from 1 species